rnacentral:lncRNA from 1 species
AAAAAAUUGUUAUUUGACCCCUUAAGGAGUUAUUGGCCUUUAAAGAAAAUUUUACACAAUUUGUUCAUCAAGUUUGCUUACAUUUAAAAUUCUUCUCCUCCAAAAUACAGUUGAGCGAUUCAGGCUCCUGAGAGCCUCUUGUUUAUGUACAUGAAUAAAUUGAUAUAAUACAUUAACACCCUUGUUAUAAUGAUUUCCUCGUGAUAGGUAAUUUGUACAUUUUUAUUUGUUCUUACUUGCUAAUACUCUAUAAAUCACGGACAUGACUUGAUACCUAAACAUUAGACGAUGAUUGCAUGUAUCAGUGCAGCAAUGUCUCUUGUUCAUGUUCAUCUUCGUUCAUAUUCAUAUCACCGAACCAAUAUCACAACGUUUUGUACGACUUUUACUAGUUAUUUCAUUUGUUUUAUGAUACCUACUCCAUCAUUCGCACUGAUAAUCUUGCUGAUAAAGUCGGUAUCAAAAAAUAUUUUGAUUCGAGCGUCACUGAUGAGUCUUUUGUAGACGAAACUUGUAUCUGGCGAAAAUAUAACAUUGCUAGA